UUCUACAAAGAACUUGUCAAACUCCUCUGUAAGAAAUGAAAUGAUAACACAGAACACUAUAACUGACCUCAAAAAGCUUUUGCUAGAUUCAUGAACUUGGCACUGUUUUCCAGAGGUAUCAACCCAGGUCCAAAUUUGAUUUUGAACUGGUCUGAAAUCCAGAGUCCACUGCUUCUGGGUCAGGAGGUGCCACAGAGCAGAUGGUAGCAAAAUAGUCGUAAAAAGUUAUGUUCAGUGGGAGGCUGGGCAUUUCCCUUUGGAAUAAGAGUCCUUGUUAGUUUGCUUCUCUUCAGUCUUAAUGUGGGAGAGAGUGAAGGGAACAUAAUAAAAUCACUGUGUUCAAUCAGGUCUGGAUGCAGUUAUUGCCCCAAAAGUAAGCACUUAAUUUCCUUCCUACAAUUUCCAAGCAUUGACCAAGACACAUCGCUAGCAAGACCCAACACAUACUUAUGUGUUCAGACAAAAUUCUUUCAAUAUAAAUAGAAGAAAAGCAUUGGGAAGUGGGGAGCAUGAGAGAGGGUCAAACAUACUGACUUCAACCCCAGGUCCUCAGCAUCAUAUCCACUCUCAACCCUGACUGCUCACUGCCUCUACCUGCAAGUGGCCCCCACUCUCCCCGAGGCUUAAGGAGAGGCAGGUUCCUGGAUAGACCCCAUAUGAAAUCCACACUAUCCCAAUAUAAGAUCAUGACAAAGACCCAGGUUUAAAUAUCAGUGUCCUCUAGUUUCAGUUGAAGGCCAUAUCCCAUGAACACACCAGAUAGAUGGUUCUUCCAUACAUACAGAACACACACUUCACACAACACAAAAUAAUUCCAGUAUGGGACUGUGUUCGGGUUUGGAGUGAGUGACGCUGUGUGUGUGGGUGUGUGCGCCCAUGUGCACCAAAGUUAGGAGACACAUCCCUGGACUGCUUCCCCAGACCUCUGUCCCUUCUUGCUCGUCCUCUUGGUAGGUCGGGCUCUCCCUGGCACACGCGGGACUUUGGCCACGUCCCCGGCCACCUGAGGUGGGAGCAUCCCAGCUGCAGUGGUGAGCAGGUCGACGGUCUGUUGAGGAUGAUUCUUCGGCAUCUCAGGUC
rnacentral:lncRNA from 1 species